GUGAAUCAUCGAAUCUUUGAACGCACAUUGCGCCCGCCAGUAUUCUGGCGGGCAUGCCUGUCCGAGCGUCAUUUCAACCAUCAAGCCCCGGGCUUGUGUUGGGGCCCUGCGGCUGCCGCAGGCCCUGAAAACCAGUGGCGGGCUCGCUAGUCACUCCGAGCGUAGUAGUUUACACCUCGCUCAGGGCGUGCUGCGGGUUCCGGCCGUUAAAAGCCUUAUUUUACCCAAGGUUGACCUCGGAUCAGGUAGGAAGACCCGCUGAACUUAAGCAUAUCAAUAAGCGGAGGA
rnacentral:misc_RNA from 1 species